rnacentral:rRNA from 1 species
CGCGUAAGGGUGCGUAACACGUGGGCAAUCUGCCCUGAAGUUCGGAACAACUUGCCGAAAGGUGAGCUAAUACCGGAUGUGAUCGUUUGCUGGCAUCUGUAGACGAUCAAAGCUGGGGAUCUUCGGACCUGGCGCUUUAGGAUGAGCCCGCGGCCUAUCAGCUAGUUGGUGAGGUAACGGCCCACCAAGGCUAAGACGGGUAGCUGGUCUGAGAGGACGACCAGCCACACUGGAACUGAGACACGGUCCAGACACCUACGGGUGGCAGCAGUCGAGAAUCUUUCACAAUGGGCGAAAGCCUGAUGGAGCGACGCCGCGUGGGGGAUGAAGGGCUUCGGCUCGUAAACCCCUGUCAUCUGGGAGCAAACCUCCGACACGAAUACUGUCGGAGUUGAUAGUACCAGAAGAGGAAGGGACGGCUAACUCUGUGCCAGCAGCCGCGGUAAUACAGAGGUCCCAAGCGUUGUUCGGAUUCACUGGGCGUAAAGGGUGCGUAGGCGGUCGGCUAAGUCUGAUGUGAAAUCUCCGGGCUCAACCCGGAAACUGCAUCGGA